rnacentral:misc_RNA from 1 species
AACCUGUGAUUUCCAGCAGCUCCAACUAGGUAUGUUCUAAAUAUGCUUUUUUUUUCUUCUUCUUCUCUAAUUUUAUAUGGUAUCAAAACCAAUCCCAAUCUCAAUAUUAGGCCACCCACAGAUAUUCAGUCAUGAGAGUAAGGGGGUAUGUUAAGUCCUACAUAGGCUGGGUAUUGGACAAAAGAUGCUUCACAUAUGACUUAGGCAAUCCUCUCCCCCACAAGGCGUUUUGGGGUGGAAUUAGGCCCAGUUUGCUUUAUCAACAAUAAACAAUACAGCGAGCCAUUAACAUUAAGCAAUGACUAUUACAAUCAUACGUUAAUAACGAAAGGUAGAACUUGGGAAUCCAGCAUCCAACUGCCUUCAUUUGUUAAGUUGUUCCAAUCACUUGUCAUGACUUUAAACAUUCUUCAGGUAUUGAUAUUAAACCCCCAU